rnacentral:rRNA from 1 species
UACGGGAGUGGCAAGCGUUAUCCGGAAUUAUUGGGCGUAAAGCGUCCGCAGGCGGCCUUUUAAGUCUGUUGUCAAAGCGUGGAGCUCAACUCCAUUUAAGCAAUGGAAACUGGGAGGCUUGAGUGUGGUAGGGGCAGAGGGAAUUCCCGGUGUAGCGGUGAAAUGCGUAGAUAUCGGGAAGAACACCAGUGGCGAAGGCGCUCUGCUGGGCCAUAACUGACGCUCAUGGACGAAAGCCAGGGGAGCGAAAGGG